rnacentral:rRNA from 1 species
UACGUAGGGUGCAAGCGUUAAUCGGAAUUACUGGGCGUAAAGCGUGCGCAGGCGGUUAUAUAAGACAGAUGUGAAAUCCCCGGGCUCAACCUGGGAACUGCAUUUGUGACUGUAUAACUAGAGUACGGCAGAGGGGGAUGGAAUUCCGCGUGUAGCAGUGAAAUGCGUAGAUAUGCGGAGGAACACCGAUGGCGAAGGCAAUCCCCUGGGCCUGUACUGACGCUCAUGCACGAAAGCGUGGGGAGCAAACAGG